CGUGUAUGUGGGUAGCUAAAGAUCUCCCUCCCUCCCCGCCUGCCUCCUCCCCUCCCCGAGACGGGCAGCUCCCUCAGAGCAGAAACGCCUGAAACUGUUUCAGACCAAGGCCCAGAAGAGGAAUGUACAACGUGCGAUCCUUAACACGCCGGUCUCCCCAGUGAGGAGAUUAUUAGUCUCCCUCCAGCGGGAGAUUAACUCUCCCAGCAAGACAGGAGUCUCCUGCCCUGGACAAAUCUGGUUUUUAACAAGCAACGAGAGCCAGCAGGAGAGAGGGCAGCACAUGGCCCCGCCACGGUGGCCUUUGCGUCUGUUCCCAAGGAUCACCUUCAGCCCGCGAGCGAUGGCACCGAACGCAGCUCGCAGGGAGGAGGGCUGGCAUCCUUGCCCUGGCGAGCAGGUUGUGAUUUUUUGGCAUCCUGCGACCCCUAGUGAGAGCCCUGGGCGGCCGGGCCGCCGCCUCCCCCGGCCGCGGUCCGGGUCCCUGUGGGGUCCGGUCGCCCCGGGGCUGCCAGCGCCGGCAGCUCCCGCAAGGCGCGGGCUGUUUCCAACGCACGGGCAAAACGUACCU